GCCGGACGCGGUGGCGCGCGCCUGUAGUCCCAGCUACUCGGGAGGCUGAGACGGGAGGAUCGCUUGAGCCCAGGAGUUCUGGGCUGUAGUGCGCUAUGCCGAUCGGGUGUCCGCACUAAGUUCGGCAUCAAUAUGGUGACCUCCCGGGAGCGGGGGACCACCAGGUUGCCUAAGGAGGGGUGAACCGGCCCAGGUCGGAAACGGAGUAAGCUCCGAAAACUCCCGUGCUGAUCAGUAGUGGGAUCGCGCCUGUGAAUAGCCACUGCACUCCAGCCUGGGCAACAUAGCGAGACCCCGUCUCU
rnacentral:SRP_RNA from 1 species